AACGCACGAGACCUGCGGACCUGCGGAAGGAUCAUUAUAGGAAAAAAGUUUAAAAAUAAGUUGCAGGGAUGUUGUAUGACUCUCUGCUUCUUCAAACAAACUAUCGCAACUAUAAAACGAGGGGGGAAAUACGUGAAAAAAAAAGUGUUUGCCUGAUAUAUACGAUCAGAGAUUUGAUGAGGGGAAAAAAUAAAACUUUUAACAACGGAUCUCU
rnacentral:misc_RNA from 1 species